rnacentral:rRNA from 1 species
AAACAUUUUAUUUUAGAUGCUAGACAACUAACUUUAUUGGAGAGUUUGAUCCUGGCUCAGGAUGAACGCUGGCGGCGUGCCUAAUACAUGCAAGUCGAGCGAAUGGAUUAAGAGCUUGCUCUUAUGAAGUUAGCGGCGGACGGGUGAGUAACACGUGGGUAACCUGCCCAUAAGACUGGGAUAACUCCGGGAAACCGGGGCUAAUACCGGAUAACAUUUUGAACCGCAUGGUUCGAAAUUGAAAGGCGGCUUCGGCUGUCACUUAUGGAUGGACCCGCGUCGCAUUAGCUAGUUGGUGAGGUAACGGCUCACCAAGGCAACGAUGCGUAGCCGACCUGAGAGGGUGAUCGGCCACACUGGGACUGAGACACGGCCCAGACUCCUACGGGAGGCAGCAGUAGGGAAUCUUCCGCAAUGGACGAAAGUCUGACGGAGCAACGCCGCGUGAGUGAUGAAGGCUUUCGGGUCGUAAAACUCUGUUGUUAGGGAAGAACAAGUGCUAGUUGAAUAAGCUGGCACCUUGACGGUACCUAACCAGAAAGCCACGGCUAACUACGUGCCAGCAGCCGCGGUAAUACGUAGGUGGCAAGCGUUAUCCGGAAUUAUUGGGCGUAAAGCGCGCGCAGGUGGUUUCUUAAGUCUGAUGUGAAAGCCCACGGCUCAACCGUGGAGGGUCAUUGGAAACUGGGAUACUUGAGUGCUGAAGAUGAAGUGGAAUCCUAUGUGUAGCGUUGUAAUGCUUAUUUAUUUUA